CCUACGGGAUGCAGCAGUGAGGAAUAUUGGUCAAUGGACGCAAGUCUGAACCAGCCAUGCCGCGUGCAGGAAGACGGCUCUAUGAGCUGUAAACUGCUUUUGUACGAGGGUAAACGCAGAUACGCGUAUCUGUCUGAAAGUAUCGUACGAAUAAGGAUCGGCUAACUUCGUGCCAGCAGCCGCGGUAAUACGGAGGAUUCAAGCGUUAUCCGGAUUUAUUGGGUGUAAAGGGUGCGUAGGCGGUCGGAUAAGUUAGAGGUGAAAUCCCGAGGCUCAACUUCGGAAUUGCCUCUGAUACUGUUCGGCUAGAGAGUAGUUGCGGUAGGCGGAAUGUAUGGUGUAGCAGUGAAAUGCUUAGAGAUCAUACAGAACACCGAUUGCGAAGGCAGCUUACCAAGCUACUUCUGACGUUGAGGCACGAAAGCGUGGGGAGCAAACAGGAUUAGAUACCCUUGUAGUC
rnacentral:rRNA from 1 species